GGCUUGGACCCGAGACGGUUGUACUGCUUGUCCCCCCUAGUGAGCCGGCCCUGUCGAUAUAUACAUAAUUUUAGUUAAGAUUUAAGGAUCAGAAUAUGUAAGCUUUAACCUAGAAUGGUUUAAAACUAAAGCUAUCCCAAUCUUGAAAGGACAAAUGCAAGAAGAUAUUAGCAAACAAAAUUUUAAAGCAUGUCAUGGCUAGAUAUUGAAAGUUUCCAGGUACAAUGGCAGUGUAUACAUAUUCAUAUUGAUGCACAAAUAAAAUGGGGGAAACCGAAGACAUUUAGUGAGCUUGUGGUCACACCACUACAGAAAGCACUCUUAAGUUGCACACAUGAGUGUGUUUAAAAGGCGGGAAUAAAACAAAACAAAAGCAUUUAGCACCAAAGCUAGGAAACCUAAAACCAGAAGGACAUUGUUU
rnacentral:lncRNA from 1 species